AGGCGGCGGGAAAGACUCGGUAGGGCGAGAUUGAUCAGUGCGAGGGGCCGCGCUCGCUCCGGCGGGCCGGCGAGAGCGGCAGCGGGAGGUGGCGCUGCCUUAGCUCAUCGGCUUGGCGAGGGCUCCCGGAGGGACCAGGACCUGUCCCCGCCCAGACCCCUGCACCUGACGGAUUCCUCCCUUCAAAAGUGUCCUCACGUCGAGCCCCGACGCCCCUCACCCGGCUGCGGCCAGGCCACUGCUGUAACACCACACCAUACCCCCGGGGGUUCUUCCGGUGCGCCCACCGCCCACUUAGGACGCCUGCAUUAUUUUUUACUUUCCACUGCCGACGAAUUUGUGUCCUUCUGGAUUUUUACUCCAGUGGACAGGGGUCGUUGCUCUCUGAUCCUACGUUUUACCAGCAACCCAAAUCUCCUUGUUUCCAUUUCUAUCCUUCUCUCCACGCUAAACGUUCAUGGAAAUAACCGCCAAGUAAUGGUAAUGAUGGAUACACGCAGAAGGCACGGUUCCGACCUUCCCCAAUAAAUUGUCAUCUUAAUCAGCUGUCUAGGCUGCCUCCUAAGAGUGUUUUUUCAUCAUCUGAGUCUCCAGCUAGAAAGAAAACACAAGAACUUCCCUGGUGGUGUUGCAGAGAAGCCAACUGAGUCCAGGUUGGAAACUUUCUUUGACUUGCUUUUUGUUGCUUUUGUUAUUAUAAUCAUACUUAAUA
rnacentral:lncRNA from 1 species